GACAGAGGGUGCAAACGUUUGUUCGGAAUUACUGGGCGUAAAGCGUGUGUAGGCGGCUUUGCAAGUCGGAUGUGAAAGCCCCGGGCUCAACCCGGGAAGUGCACUCGAUACUGCGAAGCUUGAGUGUCGGAGAGGUUGGUGGAAUUCUCGGUGUAGAGGUGAAAUUCGUAGAGAUCGGGAGGAACACCUGUGGCGAAGGCGGCCGACUGGGCCGACCCUGACGCUGAGGCGCGAAGGCGUGGGGAGCGAACGGG
rnacentral:rRNA from 1 species